CACACACGAAACAACUUUUUGAUCUCUGUCCAAUUGGAAAAAGAUCUGAAUGUUAAUGAAACGGUCAGAUCCACAUUUUAGUCUUUGCCAAAUGAUCCCAUAACUCAGAACAGUGGAGACACAUUGUGACAGGAUGCAAGUCUCUUUGCUUUGAAAAUGUAGACCCCUCAACUAAUGUUUCAGAGAUUUUUGUGCAGUAACAUUGGUACAAAGUAGGGAAAAAUGAAAUCAGAACUUAGUAUACCUUCGUGAACCACAGAAAAUCUUGUGUAAUAGAACUGGUGUGAGAGU
rnacentral:lncRNA from 1 species